CAAACCAAGACCCAAAAACACUAGAAGAAUUCUUCUCAGUAGAAGCAUAUGGCCUGGUCUUGAAACUACAGAACAUCUGUAAAACAACGCACACUAUCUCGACAUAAAUUUAGAGUUGAAGGAUAACAAGUUAAACACCACAGUCUUUAGAAAACCAAUGUACGAACCUGUUGUCAUCCCCCGGUGGUCACCAGAUCCAUAUACAUACAAACUUGCCGCAUUCCGCUACUACUUCAAAAGGGCCAUCUUGCACAUAGACGAGCAAGAGGAUAUGAACAAUGAGAUAGAGUACAUUUUAAAUAUAGGUAGAAUGCACGGGUACUCCAAGAACAUCUUAAUGAAGACUUUCCUUAAAAUGAAACAAAACAUCGCCAACAAAACCGCCAUGCCAAAAGAAGCCGCC
rnacentral:lncRNA from 1 species